GAGGCUGCGUCAGGGAUGGCUGCGUUUUUUGACCGUCAGACCCGCUCACGGGGUCAUAUAACUGACAAACUGAUAGCGGCAGUAUUAGAAAACGAAAACCUUUCGGAGAACGAAGAUUUAGAUGAUGAUGACCUCGAUUUAGUACAAAACCAUCUCUUUAGGGAAAUGGAUAACUUAGAUAUAACAGACGAGGACCCUGAAGAGUAAGUGGUAGUAGAACGAUCGCCUGAACCGGAAAAUAUUUCAACAGUAUCUAUCGAAGCCGGGUUCUCCAAUUUUACCAGGGUCAUCAGCUAGACCAACAAGAAA